UUUGGUCACAUCUACUAAUACCAUAUCUCUGGAAGGACACAUCAAUGUGGUAGCAGACUGUGACAUCACUAAUGAUGAAAGAAAUUGUGCAACUGCAUCAUGGGAUAAGACCAUAGGUGUCUGGGAUGUGUCUACAGGCAUGUACCGAUCUAAAGGACCAACUGUGCUAAAAGGUAGUCAUGAUGGAUCUGUCAGUUGCUGCCAAUUCAGUAAUGAUGGUAAAGUAAUUAUA
rnacentral:sRNA from 1 species